UUCUGGCUCAGGACGAACGCUGGCGGCGUGCUUAACACAUGCAAGUCGAACGGGGAUAACGGAGAGGAGAGCUUCGGCAGGAAUCGCUGUUAUUCGAGUGGCGGACGGGUGAGUAACGCGUGAGCAACCUGUCCCAGACAGGGGGAUAACACUUGGAAACAGGUGCUAAUACCGCAUAAGACCACGGGAUCGCAUGGUUCUGGGGUAAAAGGAGAAAUCCGGUUUGGGGUGGGCUCGCGUCCGAUUAGCCAGUUGGCGGGGUAACGGCCCACCAAAGCGACGAUCGGUAGCCGACCUGAGAGGGUGAUCGGCCACAUUGGAACUGAGAGACGGUCCAAACUCCUACGGGAGGCAGCAGUGGGGAAUAUUGGGCAAUGGGCGAAAGCCUGACCCAAGCAACGCCGCGUGAGUGAAGAAGGCCUUCGGGUUGUAAAGCUCUGUUAUAGUUGACGAAGUGCGUGACGGUAGGCUAUAAGGAAGCCCCGGCUAACUACGUGCCAGCAGCCGC
rnacentral:rRNA from 1 species